AACGAACGCUGGCGGCAGGCUUAACACAUGCAAGUCGAGCGCCCCGCAAGGGGAGCGGCAGACGGGUGAGUAACACGCGGGAAUCUACCCAGCUCUACGGAACAACUCCGGGAAACUGGAGCUAAUACCGUAUACGUCCUUCGGGAGAAAGAUUUAUCGGAGUUGGAUGAGCCCGCGUUGGAUUAGCUAGUUGGUGGGGUAAUGGCCUACCAAGGCGACGAUCCAUAGCUGGUCUGAGAGGAUGAUCAGCCACACUGGGACUGAGACACGGCCCAAACUCCUACGGGAGGCAGCAGUGGGGAAUAUUGGACAAUGGGCGAAAGCCUGAUCCAGCCAUGCCGCGUGAGUGAUGAAGGCCCUAGGGUUGUAAAGCUCUUUCACCGGUGAAGAUAAUGACGGUAACCGGAGAAGAAGCCCCGGCUAACUUCGUGCCAGCAGCCGCCGUAA
rnacentral:rRNA from 1 species